rnacentral:rRNA from 1 species
AGAGUUUGAUCCUGGCUCAGAUUGAACGCUGGCGGCAUGCCUUACACAUGCAAGUCGAACGGCAGCACGGGAGCAAUCCUGGUGGCGAGUGGCGAACGGGUGAGUAAUAUAUCGGAACGUGCCCAGUCGUGGGGGAUAACGCAGCGAAAGCUGUGCUAAUACCGCAUACGAUCUCUGGAUGAAAGCGGGGGACUCGCAAGGGCCUCGCGCGAUUGGAGCGGCCGAUAUCAGAUUAGCUAGUUGGUGGGGUAAAAGCCCACCAAGGCGACGAUCUGUAGCUGGUUUGAGAGGACGACCAGCCACACUGGAACUGAGACACGGUCCAGACUCCUACGGGAGGCAGCAGUGGGGAAUUUUGGACAAUGGGCGCAAGCCUGAUCCAGCAAUGCCGCGUGCAGGAUGAAGGCCUUCGGGUUGUAAACUGCUUUUGUACGGAACGAAACGGCGAGCUCUA